GAUGAACGCUGGCGGCGUGCCUAACACAUGCAAGUCGAACGGAGAUUACGGACGGAAGUUUUCGGAUGGAAGCCUGUAAUUCUUAGUGGCGGACGGGUGAGUAACGCGUGGGCAACCUGCCCUAUACAGGGGGAUAGCAGCUGGAAACGGCUGGUAAGACCGCAUAAGUCGGUUAAAUCGCAUGAUUUGAUCGGGAAAUGAGCAAUCAGGUAUAGGAUGGGGCCGCGUCCGAUUAGCCAGUUGGCAGGGUAAAAGCCUACCAAAGCGACGAUCGGUGGCCGGACUGAGAGGUCGGACGGCCACAUUGGGACUGAGACACGGCCCAAACUCCUACGGGAGGCGGCAGUGGGGGAUAUUGCACAAUGGAGGAAACUCUGAUGCAGCGACGCCGCGGGAGUGAAGAAGUAUUUCGGUAUGUAAAGCUCUAUCAGCAGGGAAGAUGAUGACGGUACCUGACUAAGAAGCCCCGGCUAACUACGUG
rnacentral:rRNA from 1 species